ACAGUUGGGGAGGGCGUGGCCCCUUAGCCCCACCCCAACCCCUCGACCGGUCCCGCCUAGUCUUGACUGCCCCUCGGCAACCAGCACAACAAAACAAAAUGGCGGUUCCGGCGCCCAAUGCCUAAGGACUCGGAAGACGGAACUCCCCAGGUCAGGGAUUCCCCUCCGUUAGUCCUGUCCCGGCCAGAUCCCGUAGUGCUUUGGAUGGACAAUUGACCAUAUACUUGCAAUGAAGAAAGGUUCCCAGCAAGAAUCACCACCAAGAACAAAGAUGACACCAUCUCGCUCACCUAGUCCAACAUCUCAUUUGUCCAGUACAAGAUCAAGGUCACUUUCACCUUAUAGCAAAAUUGAGACUCCUACUUUUCCUACUAGAAGACAGUGGCUUAAGCAUAGUGACAUCAUGGGAGAGAGUGAUAGGUGUCUUGAUGAUACCUACCAAGAUGAUAAAGGUGAUCAUACUUCUGGAGUAAGAUAUAUUACCGAGACUCUUAUUAAAAAGCUUAGCAAACAAGAAAAUUUGAGCUUAGUAAAAUCUUUGAAUCUUUCCCUUUCAAAAUAUAGUGGCAAGAAAUUUAAGUACAUAGAAAACCUGGAAAAGUGUAAUAAACUUGAAGUCUUAAAUCUCAGCUAUAAUCUAAUUGGGAAGAUUGAGAAAUUAGAUAAGCUUUUAAAAUUACGUGAACUGAAUUUAUCAUAUAACAAAAUCAGUAAAAUUGAAGGCCUAGAACAUAUGCAGAAUCUUCAAAAGCUAAAUCUUGCAGGAAAUAAAAUUGAUCAUAUUCCAUUAUGGUUAGGGAAGAAGCUAAGAUCUUUGAGGGUCCUCAAUCUGAAAGACAACAACAUAUCUUCGCUCCAGGAAAUAAGCAAGUUGAAGUCACUCAAUGAUUUAACUUCUCUGGUUCUUGAUGGCAAUCCAGUAGUAGAGCUUCCUCAUUACCACCUGUAUACCAUUUUUCACCUCAGAUCCCUGGAAAGUUUGGAGGAUCAGCCAGUGACUAGUCGGGACAGGCAGAAAUCUUUUGAUAGAUUUGAUUUAGAGGAGAUAGAACGACUAGAAAGAGACUUGGAAAAGAAGACAACAGAAGCAGAAGAGCUAAAGCACAGACAGGCCCAAUUCUUAGAAGAAAUGAAAACUCAGAAUGAAAUAAACCGGUCUCUGAAAGAGGAGGCUGUCCGGCACAAACACAGCUAUAAAGAACUUCAGAGUGAUCUCAGCACCAAGAGUGAAUUGUUAAAACAGAAGACAAUGGAACUCACUCGUUCUUGCCAAAAACAGUAUGAACUAGAACAAGAAUUGGCUUUUUAUAAAAUUGAUGCCAAAUUUGAGCCACUAAAUUAUUAUCCACAAGAGUACAAUGAAAUUUAUGACGCCCCAGGUGAAAGUCCUUAUAUUGGUAAAUCCAGAUAUAAAAGAAAUAUGUAUACCACUGAAAGUUAUAUUAAUGAUAAUGCCCAGCCAAUACAGAUUCAAAAACUCGAACUUUGUAAAGAAGAACUUGGAAAUGAACAGAUCUCAAGGAAACCUGCUGAUACGUUGGAUAUACAACUAAAAGAUAAAGAAAACAAAAUAAAAGCAGCCCAAGCCCAAUUGAAGGAGCUGUACAAUGAAAUGGCAACAGUAGAGCAGAACAUUUUAAAAGCAACAGAAGAAUUUAAACAACUAGAAGAAGCCAUAAAACUGAAAAAAGUUUCUGAAACAGAAAAAGACCUUGUCCUCAAACAAUUAAGUGGUAAGAUACAACUCCUAAAUCAGUUACGUCAAGAAUCAAUGAAUCUAGAAAUGCAGAUGGAGAAGCAGAGUGCAGAAAUAACAAAAAAAGAGAUGGAAAUAAAAGAUGUGGAAAGUGCCCUUGAUAAUCUAGAUCACACAGACCCAAGACAUAUUCAUGUGAAGGCCCAGAAGAAAAGCAGAGAACAGCAGCGUGACAUCAUGAACAAACAAUAUCAACAGCUUGAAAGUCGAUUAGAUGAUAUACUUACACGGAUUGCUAAGGAAACUGAUGAUAUUAAGGACCUAGAACAACAACUCACUGAAGGUCAGAUAGCAGCCAAUGAAACCUUGAAGAAAGAUUUAGAAAGCAUCAUCAGUGGCUUGCAGGACUACCUUGAAAAUGUUAAAGGACAGGUAACAAAGGUCCAGGAUGAAUGCCGAGUACUACAAAAUGAUAAAGAAAUUUUACUGCAAAAAGUGACUAAACUUGAAGAAGAGAAAUCAGAGCUGGAAGUCGCUGCUAUGGAUGCAGAAAAUAUGAGAAAAGAACUUGCUGAAAUGGAAUUGUUACUUCAAGAGCAUCAAGAAGCAAACAGGACUCUUCAACAGGCCCAAAGAGAUUUAAGUGCCUAUGAAGUAGAACUUGAAACUCAGCUGAGAGCCAAAGAAGCUGAAAGUAACCAGCACAAAGAGGAAUUAGAGAAGCUCAAACAGCUCCAAGAGUUAGAACACUUAACCCUACAAGCCGAACUUGAAAAUGAAAGGCUGGCCCUCGAAGAGGCUUUCAGCAAGUCCCAGUUCUCAGAAAAGAAGGAACAGGAAAACAAUGAACUAUGCUCAAAAAUCAAACAGUUGGAGGAUGACAAUAGUCUCUUAAAACAACAGCUUAAAGAUUUUCAAAAUGAAUUUGACCAUAUGAUUGAUGGCUUGCUUCAUCCAGAAGUCGCAGCAGCUCGUGUGGAGGAAUUGAAGAGAAAGUUAGAAAAAGGAAUUGAAGAAAUUAGGUGCCUCAGUCCUUCAGAUGUUCUAGGGAAAAGUCUUGCUGAUUUACAGAAGCAGUUCAAUGAAAUCCUUACACAUACCCAGCAGGAGAAAGAGGCGGCACUAGGUAGAGAGAGGAAACUACAGGAAGAAAUGGCAUUUCAAAAGGAGAAACUGGUAGAGGGACAAAAGGACUACAGGAAGGCCUGUGAAAAAGCAGCAGAUGCAAGAAUUCAGUCUGAUAAAAAGCAAUAUGAGGUCAAGAUUCAAGAACUGGAGAAUGAAAUUCUGUAUUUGCAAGAAAAUCUAAAGAGUAUGGAGGAAAUUCAAGGUUUUACAGAUCUUCAACUUCAGGAAGCUGAUGAAGAGAAGGAGAGAAUUCUCACACAGCUGGAAGAUUUAGAAAAUAAGAAAAAGCUAGAAGAGGCCAGAUCCCAGAAGCAGUUCCUUGGAUUAGAUCGGGAACUAAAGGAGCUAAAGGCAGCUGUCGCUGCUUCUGAUAAGCAAGCAACUGUAGAACUCUGCAUUGCCAAGGACCAGCUGAAGUCUCUCCAUGGGACUGUCCUCAGGAUCAACCAAGAUCGUGCUGAGAGGCUCCAGGAAGCUGAGCAUUUCAGCAGGCAAGCAGCCCAAGCAGCCCGGGACCUCACCCGAGCGGAGGCAGAGAUCGAGCUACUGCAGAACCUCCUGAGGCAGAAAGAAAAGCAAUUUCAGACUGAAAUGGAGAAAGUAGAAACAGGUGCCUUUGGAUCAAAAUCCCAAAUGCUAGAAAUUGAGCAAUUAAAUGAGAUAUUGAAAAGACAAAAGACAGAAAUCGAAAGGCUGUGGAGUUUACUUGAUCAGACUGGAUCCGACAGCAAAGGAGAAAUAGAAAGUCUUGUGGAUGAAAUCACAGAGCUCCGACGUACCCUAUCCCACCAGAAUGAUUACAUUAGCAGCAUAGCAGAUCCUUUCAAGAGACGAGGAUAUUGGUACUUUAUGCCAUCAUCAUCAUCAUCAAAAGUUUCUAGUCCCAGGUCUCAGAGUACAAAAGACUCUGGUAUUGGCUUGAAAUAUACAUCCUUCAACCCAGUUCGAAAAGAGUGUGGCCAUGACAAGCAAAUUGAGAAAAAAGAUGUCACAUCAGGAUGUUGGAUUUAUUCUCCAGUCAGAAGUGGACUACAUAAAAUCUAUUCAAACAAAGGUGAAGGAAAUAGGGAAGAAAAUGAAUUGGCUGAUGAAGUGAACACUCCAUUUGUACCGCCUCCUGGAUCCGUUAUUUAUACUGUGUUUCCAGAUGGAACACCUGUCCCUCAGGGAACUGUGCUGUAUGCUUCUCCUCCUCCUGUACCAACCAAUGGCAGACCACUUGAACCUGGAACAGUUGUUUAUGGCCCCCCCCCUCCUGGAACACACAUUGUUUAUGGCCCUCCUCCUCCUCACUUUUCUAUCCCACUCAUUCCAAUAGGAGUCCUUCACUGCAAUGUACCUGAACAUCAUAACUUGGAGAAUGAGAUUUCUAGGCUGGAAGACAUUGUACACCAUGUCAAAACUAAAAGACAGGAAGACAAGGCAGCAAGGCAGCAGACUAAGAGAGAAAUGGAAGAACUUCACCAAAAUAUUGAAGACCUUUUGAAUGAGAGAAAAGACUUACAGGAAGAGAUGGCAGAAAUACAUAGGAAUCUCCAAAAAUACAGCAAACAAAAGGAUUUUAUGGAAGGACGUGGUGACAAUGUCAUUACUGAAUUAGGAAGAGAUGCGUCAGCCAAACACCACAACCAAAUGAUAGAUGAAAUUACAUGCAUUGAGUCAACUCUUCUGAAACGCCGGGCAGAGCUUAGAGAAGCAGAUCGACUCCUAGCUGAGGCUGAAACAGAACUUACCAACACAAAAGAGAAAACCAAAGAUACUAUUCAGAGGUACAGGGAAGUCAAGACACUCUUGUCAUGGGCAGAGCUGGAUGCAAAAGAACUAGAGCAAAGAGCCCAGGAAACCACUAUCAAUCUAAUGAAAGCAGAUAAGCAGCUAAGAUCACUUAAGGUUGAUGGAAAGGACUUCAAGCAGAACAUGCCAGAACAGCAAGAAAUCUUGAAAGACCCUGAUUUCUACUCUUUAAGUCAUAAAGUAGAAAAAUUGAUUGAAGGACUUCAAAAACUGCAGAUGGACCCAGAAGUUCCUCAAGGUUGUAACAAAGAUCAUCAUCAGGGCAUCGGUGGGCCUGAAAAUCUUCAUACUAAAAGAGCUGAGCUAGAAAAGGUCAAGAGUCAGAUAGCAGCCCAACAGCAGGAGAUGUUGGUCUUGGAUGUACAUUUAACUCGUAAGAAGGAAGAGCUACAUAUGCUGCAAGUAAAUGUGACCAAGGCAAAAACUGAUCUCCAAGAAGCCUUCAACUUAAGAGAAACAGAAGUGGCAGAGAAACGAAAUCAACUUAGGGAAAUAAAGUCGCUCUUGGAAGAACUGAAUUUUCAGAAAGCAGAAUUGAAUGUCCAGAUAAGUGAAAAGAAAACACAACUCUCACUCACUACACAGGAAAUUGGAAAAGAAGAGGAGAUCCUUCAUGAACUUGCAGGACAAAUAUGUAGGCAUAAAACAGAGAUGAAAAAUUUUAUGGACAAGUUGCAGCAUGAAAACAAUGAGUUGCAAUUCCUGAAAGUGCAACGUAACCAAAAAAUGACUGAACUAGAGAAGACACAAAUCGAGUUGGUACAGGAGAAUUUGGAAUUGGAGAAAGUGCAGCGCACUGCCCAGCGCCAGAGAGAGGAAGUUGAGUGGCAGAGACAGCUUUUGGAAAAGGAGAAACAAGAAAUCAGUCAGCUGACAUCGGAAGUAACUACCUUGCAAGCCAAUGUGGAAGCUUUGAGUGAGGAAAAGGAAGAUCUUGAAGAGAACUGUGAAAGUUUGGAGAAAAAGUUGGAGCAAGCCAAAAGAAUGUUAGCAGCUACGGAAGAUAGCAGCAGAAUAGCCACAUCUAACUUGGAAAGGAUGGAGCUGGAUGUCAGGAAACUGCAGCAGGAAGUGGACCAGCUAAACAGAGACAAGCUCUCCUUGCACAAAGAUAUUGCCAACAUGCAGCAACACCUACAAGAAAAAAGAGAAGAAUUAGAGUCCCUAAAAGAUGAACUCAUUCGUGUUCAAGAUGAGUUGAAGAUGACAGAAGAGGAUCUGGAAGUGACUUCACAACAUCAGAGUGACUUGCUGAGUGAGCAAGGCAACCUGAAAGGUAACAUCGGUGAACAGAUGAAGAAGCUCCACGAAUGCCAGGAGCAAGAAGAAAAGAAGCAAUUGCAACUACAGAUACUUCAGAGUGAGAUUGAAGAAAGGAAAAAAAGACUUGCCCAAGAGGAAGGGUAUCUUCAUCAAAUCCAAACAGAAAUAGAAAAUGAAGAAGCAAAAUUAGAAGCCUGUAAAGCAAAAUUGAAAGACCAGCAACAGUUGCUGGAUUGGGAACUGGCGAGUCAAAAAAGCAAAUUGGAACAAGUGAUCUCAAAGGUGGCACUGGCAGAAGAGAGAGUCAAGACCCUGAAAGAAGAGGAAAAAUGGAGUGCAACCUUGGAGAUGACACUAAACCAGACCAGACUUCAGCUCUCAGAACGUGAAGAGCAAUUACUAAAAAAAUCAAGUGAACUCUUAACUCUGCAACAAGAAAUGGACCUCUCCAAGGCCGAUAUAAGCCACCUUCAGAGCUGUUUCCGGUUUGAGAAGGAGAAAGCUGAAAAACAAAUUAUAGGCCUGAAAGAAGCCAUCAGGACCCAACGGACCCAAAUGGAAAAAGCCCUUCUCGAUCAAAAACAUGAGAACAGUUGUAUGCAGAAGGAAAUGACAGCAGUUGAGCAAGUUGCACAAGAUAACCAUGAGCAAGCCAAGCGCCUAAUGAAGGAGCUCAAUAAGAUUCAGUUUGAGUAUCUGGAAGUGCAGAAACAGCUAAAAAAUCAAAAGGAUUUGGAACAACGACAUAAGGAAAUCAGUGACGCAAUGAAGCUACUAAAAUAUGAAGUGAAAAGUGAACUCAAAACUAGUCUUAAGGAUUUCAACCAGUCUCAUCCAGAGUCACUAGAAGAUCUAGAAACUGUUAUUAAAAAAGCAGAAACCCUAGAGAGUGAAUUGGAAAGUUUGAAAGAGAACUUCCCAUUUUCCACCAAUGAGUGCCAAUAUUCUUUUGAAGAGAAGCUAAACUUAUCCAAAGUUCACAUUAUGGGAGAAGGAGAGGUAAUUUGGCAUUGGACAAAUACAGGCAAGUUUGCUUAUGGCGACUUUUUCCCCUUGUCAAAGGAUGAGCACUGGCGCGGAGAAGCAAUGAGAGAGAAACUACGUCAUCGUGAAGACAGACUCAAGGCCCAGCUUCGCUCCUCUAUGUCCAGGCAAACAGAGGCCUUAAUGAAAGGCAAACAACAAACUGAAGGCACUUUACACAGUUUGAAGAGACAAGUUGAUGCUUUAGAUGAACUAGUUACCAGUAACACUGCAGAUUCUACGUUGUUGGCGCCAAGUUUGUCACAACUAGACAUUUCCCUACUUGAAGGCUCUCAUCUCACUAAGGACCAGAGCUGAAGGGAACUUCAAAGAUGAAGCCAUCUAAUGCAACACCCUCAUCUUACCAAUGAGGAAAAUGAAUCCCUGGGUUAAGAAGGAUUAAUACUACUGCAAAAGCAGGUAAUAGCUCCAAAAUUUGAGAGCCAUGUGAAUUAUUCAGCCUUCAAAGAAAGAAACAACAGAGGAAAAGAGAAGCAAGAAUGAGAGCAUGCAGCCACAAGGAUGCCAUCUUGAGUAGAAUGUAUCUGUACUCCGUUCUACUGCAAUUCGUGGGAGAAUACACCAAAAAUACAGUAUCCCAUACAUACACAUCCACCGUUCGAACCUUGAGAAGUAGCAUUCUACCUAAAUCGACAAGGGCAUACACAGAAACCAAGUUGCCUGGGGAAAGGGAAUUGGGAGCUUCUGAAAUGCAGUCUUUUGUGUUUAGGGCAAGAUAGUAUCCUUCAGGAGAGAAAAUGCCACGUUUGUGACCCAGGGGCAGAAAAGUAAGCUAGAGCACUAGUAAGGCUAUAAAAUUGAUUCUCCGACGCAAGGCAGGGAGAAAGGGGACACAACCAGGAAACGUGAUUUCUCCCGUUUCUUAAAAUUCACCAGGAGAUGCCAUUUCUUCUCUCAGGAUGGGUGUGUGGUGGAAGAGGUGGGGAAGGUUAUAAAGAGAACACACCCUUUCCCUUCCUUGCAUCUCCAGGUCCACAGAGGGUAAAAACAAUGAUGGGGACCAGGGAGUGGGGGUGGAGGUAGGAAUAAGGAAAGGGAUGAAAGGGGGGAGGCGGAGAAAGGAGGGAAGGGGAAAUGGGGUUUGGAAAGCACCUUCCGCCUUCCCUUCUGCGCACCCCCCACCCCCACCCCAGCCACACUUCCACACCUAGACUUGUCCAGGGGAUGAGGUGAAGGGACGGCGGAGGGCCAAGUUGCAUUCACCAUCCCUGCUUGGCCUCCCUUCCCCCGCUGUCAGGAGCCGCCCCUCCCCCUCGACCCCCAGCCGGAGCGCUGCCCGCCCCCGCGGACAGAGAAGCACCGGCUCGGGAGCAGGCCUGAAGAGACUGCGCUACUGAAGAGGGCCUCCCUCCUUCCCUCCCCACCCGACACGCGCGCUCCAGCUGGGAGGAUGACGGGGGCGCCCUGGAGGGGGCCGGCCCGGGGUCAAGUACCUGGGGGGUGGCUGGUGGCUGGGCAGCUUUCCGAACGGGGCGUGAAGCGUCAAGAGGGGAAGAGGAGGCCCCUGGGCACCAAGGAGAAGCGACAGUCACGGGCCUGGGCCCCAGGCGGCGGAGGAAACGGAUUCGAACAGGCAAGGGUGGCCGGGGGAGGGAGAGGAGGCGCGGGGCGGCGGCAGCUACGGCGGCGGCUCCUGCUGCUUCCCUCAGGAAAGGAUCCUCCUCGGACUCGUCCAAGAUGGCGGCGCACCCUACACAGGGUUUCCUGUCACCCUCGCAAUGGGCCGGACCACAAAAGAAGGGGGGGAUGCGCGCGCAACUUGCCGGGCCGCAAGCGAGGGGGCAACGAAGGUGGAACCGUGACGACUGCACCUUCGCCACGCCUCCCUCCUUCUUCCCCUCCCUUCGCCCCGCCCCCUUUCUCCCAGAAGUGUUGGAGCGUGAGCCGGCCUGACGUUCCUUCGUGCGCGCGCACCUGGCGGGCUCGUUCACCGCGUUCUCCAGCGCUGGACGCCGCGCGCAGGCGCGCACUCUCGCCACCCAGGAAGUUUCUUGCGCAUGAGCAACUACACUACUAUUACCACAACUGAGGGCGGUUAUGGCCGUUGCUCUCUGGUGCGUCUUGUGGUGUGUAUUGCGCUCCCCCUUACGUACAAUUAGAAAAACCUCCGCCAGACACUUUCUAGCUGGGUGACCCUAGGCAAGUCACUUAACCCCAAUUACCUUUCCCUUACCUCUUUUCUUAAGUAGCAAUUCUAAGACAGAAGGGUCUUAAAAAAAAUUUUUUUAAGAGCUUCACACAGGAGUGGCUACAACUUUGUGAGUUGGAAGAAAGUUAUGGAGAAAUUCUCUCUCAGCGAAGAAAAAUUUGAGACCUGAAAAAACCUAUAGUCCGAGGACCUGUAUUCAAAUUAUAUACCUCGCUGUGGCACUAGCUACCGGAUGACCUCCUGCAAGUCCUCUAAUCUCGAAGUUUCCUGCUCUUUAAAAUGCGAGGGCGAUGCAUUAAACGAUUUCUUUUUUACCUUCCGCUCAUAAAUGUGCCAUCCUAAAACAGCCCCAAAGCGGUCAAAUUAUAAUUGUUCCCAAACCUCUAGGAAGGUGCAGGGAUGAGAAGAAAUCACUGCCCCUUUCUCCAGGCUCUCCUUUGGGAGCUGUGCCAAAACCAUUCAUGCACACUCCAAAGCACACUCCUCAAAAAUAGAUACCUUCCAUCAAGGUACCUGCUCUGCAGAAGCUUACAAGAAGGAAACAUGGCAAGAUACUCCAAUCUGGUAGACUGGAAUCUUUCUCUUGAUUUUUGUUGUUGGGAUGUGCCUCACUUUAUCCAUAUCAUUGCAGUUUUCUGUAUCUCCCCUAGUUCACACUCAUCCACUUCUCUGUGAUACAGGGUUAUAAACUCAAAGAAUUUGGAGGAGGGAAACAGUAAUUAUCAAUCUAAAUCCUCAUUUUUCAGAUAAAAUAAUAAAGUUUCUAUUAAGUUUAUAGAGAUUUUAAAGCUUGCAAAACACUUUACAUACACCAUUUCAUUUGUGGUGCAAAACAACACUGAGGAAAGGGUUGUUCUUUUACAGAUAAACUGGAUCAGAAAGAACUGACUUGUCCUGAGUCUUGGAGUUUGGGGGGUUUUUUAAACCCUUACCUUCUGACUUAGAAUCAUUACUGUGUAUUGGUUCCAAAGUAGAUUGAUAAACCCUAGCCAGGGUCACACCGCUAGAAAGUAUCAGGCCAGAUUUAAACUCACAUCCUUCUAGCUCUAGACCUGGCUCUCUGGCACACCUAGCUUAUUAAUGUCUGCUGCAGGAGCUGAAUCUUAGUCCUAAUUCCAAGCUAAGUGGUUUUAGAAAUAUUUCUUCCUUUGCUACACAUCCUACUACUUUUGAUGCCUAUAACAAAUCUUAUAAGUGUGCUAUAUAUAUAUAUAUGACUGGAGGAAGUAUGCAUAUCACAAGUUCAAUAAACAUUAUCUUUUCC